UAGGGAAUCUUCCACAAUGGACGAAAGUCUGAUGGAGCAACGCCGCGUGAGUGAAGAAGGGUUUCGGCUCGUAAAACUCUGUUGUUAAAGAAGAACAUAUCUGAGAGUAACUGUUCAGGUAUUGACGGUAUUUAACCAGAAAGCCACGGCUAACUACCUGCCAG
rnacentral:rRNA from 1 species